rnacentral:pre_miRNA from 1 species
AAUAUACUCCCUCCGUCCCAAAAUUCUUGUCUUAGAUUUGUCUAAAUAUGGAUGUAUCAAGUCACGUUUUAGUAUUAGAUACAUCCGUAUCUACACAAAUAUAAGACAAGAAUUUUAGGACGGAGAGAGUAUAAA